rnacentral:tRNA from 1 species
UACAUUUUAGUAUAUGUUGUACAAAAAUUUUUGAUAUUUUAAGAAAUAGUUAAAUUCUAUUAAAUGUAA